UACGAAGGGGGCUAGCGUUGCUCGGAAUGACUGGGCGUAAAGGGCGCGUAGGCGGAUGGCACAGUCAGAUGUGAAAUUCCUGGGCUUAACCUGGGGGCUGCAUUUGAUACGUGUUGUCUUGAGUGAGGAAGAGGGUCGUGGAAUUCCCAGUGUAGAGGUGAAAUUCGUAGAUAUUGGGAAGAACACCGGUGGCGAAGGCGGCGACCUGGUCCUUAACUGACGCUCAUGCACGAAAGCGUGGGGAGCAAACAGG
rnacentral:rRNA from 1 species